rnacentral:rRNA from 1 species
AUUGAACGCUGGCGGCAUGCUUUACACAUGCAAGUCGAACGGUAACAGGGAGCUUGCUCCGCUGACGAGUGGCGAACGGGUGAGUAAUGCGUCGGAACGUGCCGAGUAGUGGGGGAUAACGCAUCGAAAGGUGUGCUAAUACCGCAUACGACCUGAGGGUGAAAGCGGGGGAUCGCAAGACCUCGCGCAGUUGGAGCGGCCGAUAUCAGAUUAGGUAGUUGGUGGGGUAAAGGCUCACCAAGCCAACGAUCUGUAGCUGGUCUGAGAGGACGACCAGCCACACUGGGACUGGGACACGGCCCAGACUCCUACGGGAGGCAGCAGUGGGGAAUUUUGGACAAUGGGCGCAAGCCUGAUCCAGCCAUGCCGCGUGCGGGAAGAAGGCCUUCGGGUUGUAAACCGCUUUUGUCAGGGAAGAAAAGACUCCUGUUAAUACCGGGGGUUCAUGACGGUACCUGAAGAAUAAGCACCGGCUAACUACGUGCCAGCCGCCGCCGUAACAC